rnacentral:tRNA from 1 species
GUUCCUAUGGUUCAGUGGUAGAACAAUCACACUUUCUGGGGUAAACCUGAGUUCGAUUCUCAGUGGGGACA